rnacentral:rRNA from 1 species
GACGAACGCUGGCGGCGUGCUUAACACAUGCAAGUCGAACGGAAAGGCCCUGCUUGCAGGGUACUCGAGUGGCGAACGGGUGAGUAACACGUGGGUGAUCUGCCCUGCACUUCGGGAUAAGCCUGGGAAACUGGGUCUAAUACCGGAUAGUAGCCAUUUUUAGUGUGAUGGUUGGAAAGUUUUUUCGGUGUAGGAUGAGCUCGCGGCCUAUCAGCUUGUUGGUGGGGUAAUGGCCUACCAAGGCGGCGACGGGUAGCCGGCCUGAGAGGGUGGACGGCCAAUUGGGACCUGGGUUCGGGCCAGACCCCCACCGGGAGCAGCAGGUGGGGAUAAUGGAACAUGGGCGGAAGCCUGAUGGAAGGACGCCGCGUUGGGGAUGACGGCCUUCGGGUUGUAAACUCCUUUCGCUAGGGACGAAGCUUUUUGUGACGGUACCUAGAUAAGAAGCACCGGCUAACUACGUG